GAAAUGCGAUAAGUAGUAUGAAUUGCAGAAUUCAGUGAAUCAUCGAAUCUUUGAACGCACAUUGCGCCCCUUGGUAUUCCAUGGGGCAUGCCUGUUCGAGCGUCAUUUGUACCCUCAAGCUCUGCUUGGUGUUGGGUGUUUGUCCCCGUCUCCGCGCGUGGACUCGCCCCAAAGUGAUUGGCAGCCGGCGUACUGGUCCCGGAGCGCAGCACAUGUCGCGCAAACGAGUGCCUUGGUACGGCGGCGUCCAUAAGCCCCUCUCUCACGCUCUUGACCUCGGAUCAGGUAGGGAUACCCGCUGAACUUAAGC
rnacentral:misc_RNA from 1 species